rnacentral:rRNA from 1 species
UACGUAGGGUGCAAGCGUUAAUCGGAAUUACUGGGCGUAAAGCGUGCGCAGGCGGUUAUGUAAGACAGAUGUGAAAUCCCCGGGCUCAACCUGGGAACUGCAUCUGUGACUGCAUUGCUGGAGUGCGGCAGAGGGGGGUGGAAUUCCGCGUGUAGCAGUGAAAUGCGUAGAGAUGCGGAGGAACACCGAUGGCGAAGGCAGCCCCCUGGGCUAGCACUGACGCUCAGGCACGAAAGCGUGGGAGCAAACAGG